rnacentral:rRNA from 1 species
CCUACGGGUGGCAGCAGUGGGGAAUAUUGGACAAUGGGGGCAACCCUGAUCCAGCCGUGCCGCGUGUGUGAAGAAGGCCCUCGGGUUGUAAAGCACUUUCAGUGAGGAAGAACGCCUGGUGGUUAAUACCCAUCAGGAAAGACAUCACUCACAGAAGAAGCACCGGCUAACUCCGUGCCAGCAGCCGCGGUAAUACGGAGGGUGCGAGCGUUAAUCGGAAUUACUGGGCGUAAAGCGCGCGUAGGUGGCUUGAUAAGCCGGUUGUGAAAGCCCCGGGCUCAACCUGGGAACGGCAUCCGGAACUGUCAAGCUAGAGUGCAGGAGAGGAAGGUAGAAUUCCCGGUGUAGCGGUGAAAUGCGUAGAGAUCGGGAGGAAUACCAGUGGCGAAGGCGGCCUUCUGGACUGACACUGACACUGAGGUGCGAAAGCGUGGGUAGCAAACAGGAUUAGAUACCCUAGUAGUC